rnacentral:rRNA from 1 species
GACGAACGCUGGCGGCGUGCUUAACACAUGCAAGUCGAACGGAAAGGCCCUGCUUUUGUGGGGUGCUCGAGUGGCGAACGGGUGAGUAACACGUGAGUAACCUGCCCUUGACUUUGGGAUAACUUCAGGAAACUGGGGCUAAUACCGGAUAGGAGCUCCUGCUGCAUGGUGGGGGUUGGAAAGUUUCGGCGGUUGGGGAUGGACUCGCGGCUUAUCAGCUUGUUGGUGGGGUAGUGGCUUACCAAGGCUUUGACGGGUAGCCGGCCUGAGAGGGUGACCGGCCACAUGGGGACUGAGAUACGGACCAGACUGCUACGGGAGGCAGCAGUGGGGAAUAUUGCACAAUGGGCGGAAGCCUGAUGCAGAAACGCCGCGUGCGGGAUGACGGCCUUCGGGUUGUAAACCGCUUUCGCCUGUGACGAAGCGUGAGUGACGGUAAUGGGUAAAGAAGCACCGGCUAACUACGUG